CCCCUAGAUGUCCUGGGCCGCACGCGCGAUACAAUGUAAAGUUCAGAAAGCAUAUCCUGUUCCGGAAGGCAAUGGGUAAUCUUUUCAAUAUUUUACGUGUUAGGGAUCGAUCUUUGCAAUUAUAGAUCUUGAACGAGGAAUACCUAGUAAGUGCAGCUCAUCAGGCUGUACUGAUUACGUCCCUGCCCUUUGUACACACCGCCCGUCGCUCCUACCGAUUUCGAGUGGUCCGGUGAAUCUUUUGGAAUUAGAGUGCAAACUCAAACUAAGAUCGAUAAACCUUAUCACUUAGAGGAAGGAGAAGUCGUAACA
rnacentral:rRNA from 1 species